rnacentral:lncRNA from 12 species
UGGUCAAAGGCAUGACUUCUGGGCUGUCAGGUGAACAAGGCCUGAAGACCUCAUGUAAAAACUGGUGACUGGAGCUGCUAACUCCGUACUGUGACUCUACACUGUACGAUUGAUCUUUGCUGGGAGUAGAGCUUCAGUGUUCUUGCACACGGAAAGAUAGGUGAGGUGAUGAUGUGCUAGUCGGUCAGGCGGGGGAGUGGGGAGCCCUUCCGGCGUGAGUCUGUGUAUCCCAUCAGCGCAGCACACUCUUUAAAUAUCUUGUCCGUUCUGCCUCGACAAAGCUGAACAAACCCCCCACAUCGAGUGGAGGUUUCGGGGGGAUGCUGGUGUGUGCAGCCUGGGAUGGGUUUGCACCUGCCUGGUUGGUACAAAGCCCCCCUGCGCCCUGGCUGGAGGUGCAGGGCCCUCAGAGAGAGCCACCUGGCUGCCUGAAGGGCUGGUUGGCCACAGGGGCCCCACGCUGAUGGACGAGUUCAGGGAGACAGGCUGUAGUCAAUCCGAAGCAACUUGGGGCCUGAUUUGAAAUUCAAAUCCUGGCUAAACAGAAAAUUAAUAUGAAUUUCGUAUUCUGUGAUUCUCACAGACUGAGCUGCGUGUGUGCCAGGCCGGCCUGGGGCGCUGCGGGCUUCAUGGCGUGGGACCUCCGGCUGCCUCUCCGCCCCGCCCCACCGCAGCCCCACGCCCCAGAACCGAGGGUGCUGGAGGAGAACAGCUGCUCUCUCCAGAUGUUUCUCCUGCAGGGAAAUGACAAAACAGAACAGAGAAAUGACUGGGGCCAGCCUCCCCUGGCAGAGCAAUUUGUUAUUGGGCAGCCACAGGGAACUCAUCUGAGGACCCGCCUAGGCAACCUGUCCUGGCAAACCUGCCUUGUUUUCAGUUAG